UACGUAGGGCGCAAGCGUUGUCCGGAAUUAUUGGGCGUAAAGAGCUCGUAGGCGGCUUGUCACGUCGGGUGUGAAAGCCCGGGGCUUAACCCCGGGUCUGCAUUCGAUACGGGCUAGCUAGAGUGUGGUAGGGGGAGAUCGGAAUUCCUGGUGUAGCGGUGAAAUGCGCAGAUAUCAGGAGGAACACCGGUGGCGAAGGCGGAUCUCUGGGCCAUUACUGACGCUGAGGAGCGAAAGCGUGGGGAGCGAACAGG
rnacentral:rRNA from 1 species